rnacentral:rRNA from 1 species
AUACGUAGGGUGCGAGCGUUGUCCGGAAUUACUGGGCGUAAAGAGCUCGUAGGUGGUUUGUCGCGUCGUCUGUGAAAUUCCGGGGCUUAACUCCGGGCGUGCAGGCGAUACGGGCAUAACUUGAGUACUGUAGGGGAGACUGGAAUUCCUGGUGUAGCGGUGAAAUGCGCAGAUAUCAGGAGGAACACCGGUGGCGAAGGCGGGUCUCUGGGCAGUAACUGACGCUGAGGAGCGAAAGCAUGGGUAGCGAACAGGAUUAGAUACCCUGGUAGUCCAUGCCGUAAACGGUGGGCGCUAGGUGUAGGGGUCUUCCACGACUUCUGUGCCGUAGCUAACGCAUUAAGCGCCCCGCCUGGGGAGUACGGCCGCAAGGCUAAAACUUAAAGGAAUUGACGGGG